rnacentral:rRNA from 1 species
AUCAUUACCGAGUGCGGGCCCUCUGGGUCCAACCUCCCAUCCGUGUCUAUCUGUACCCUGUUGCUUCGGCGUGGCCACGGCCCGCCGGAGACUAACAUUUGAACGCUGUCUGAAGUUUGCAGCCUGAGUUUUUAGUUAAACAAUCGUUAAAACUUUCAACAACGGAUCUCUUGGUUCCGGCAUCGAUGAAGAACGCAGCGAAAUGCGAUAAUUAAUGUGAAUUGCAGAAUUCAGUGAAUCAUCGAGUCUUUGAACGCACAUUGCGCCCCCUGGUAUUCCGGGGGGCAUGCCUGUCCGAGCGUCAUUGCUGCCCUCAAGCACGGCUUGUGUGUUGGGCUUCCGUCCCUGGCAACGGGGACGGGCCCAAAAGGCAGUGGCGGCACCAUGUCUGGUCCUCGAGCGUAUGGGGCUUUGUCACCCGCUCCCGUAGGUCCAGCUGGCAGCUAGCCUCGCAGCCAAUCUUUUUAACCAGGUUGACCUCGGAUCAGGUAGGGAUACCCGCUGAACUUAAGCAUAUCAAUAAGCGGAGGAA